CAUCUGCUUGGUGCAAAUGUCCAGGCACCUCUUCUGACUCAGUGAAUCGAGGAAUGAGACAAAGCAUCUUGUUCUGCACUGUGCGUGAGUCUUCAGGCAGCGGGACCGGUAGCAAACAUUGGCAGGAACUGGAUCUGUAAGAGUGAUUUUCCAGUGAUUGCUUUGGCCUGUACAACCAGAGAACAGGAUUCUUCCCUUCUUUUUGGCCACCAAAUGCCUACGUGCACCACACAUUCCAGUGUGCUGAGAAGGGCAGAGCGUCUUGGAUGAUGAUGGACGUCCCACCGGGCAGGAUGAAGGCAGAGCGUGUGGCAUCUCCACCUCAAGGGUGCAGCCUGAUCUUCCUCGUCUCCCUUGCCAGCCAGCA
rnacentral:lncRNA from 1 species